ACCUGAGCCCACUAGCGCAGAAGCGGUGGGCAUUUUAACCAAAGACCGAACCGAAAGAACUGGGACCGAGAUCGAAUAAACCGAAACCAAGUAUUUUAAUUCCUAAUUCGGGCAGGAGUUCACAAAAACCAAAUUUACGUUGAAAUUUUCGGUUUUGACUCUCAGUCACCCGAAUUGACCGAAAAAUGAAUAAAUACAAGUAGAUGGGCUGAAACCAAUUUAUAGCCUAGAAACCCGGCUCAAUAUCCUACUACUUCAACCCACCUAACUACAAACCCUUAUCCUUUCCACGUAUGACUAAUUUCACCACACCUCAUUUUCCUUCUUCGGGACUACAUCCGUAGCUCUCUUCCCCUACAUAUUUCCCAUGGAGGAAAUGAGAGCAACCCCAACGCAGCGAUCCAUUUUUUCCGUUUGGGUCAUCCGGACACAAAAGCUAGCCCAACGAGAUGACCCAAACGGACGCGCGCGUCCGUCUGCUGUCCGUUUGUUGUCCAUCCCACCCAAACUUGCGCAAAACUGGGUCACAAAUGGGUCCGAGGCGGACAAAACUGCACACUUCCCUCAUCCGCUCCUCCCCCCUCUUGUCCACCCUGGUCCCACCUAUCAACGACCUGCCGCGGCUGCUGAUGUUUGGGUGCUGCCCUCGUCCACUCCUCCCGGUGCUGCGGGCGAUGCGCGGCGCCACGCGGACCGUGGAGGAUAGUCAAGACGGGCCGACCUGCUCGCCGGCGACCCCGAUCUGCUCGCCGGUGACCCCGAGAUCGCAUAUUUGGAGAGGAGCAUGAUGAUUGCAACCCCGGAACCUGAGAGUUGAGGAUAGAAGCCUUGUGAGAUAGGAAUUAUCCAGGUCAGCUGUUCUUGUGGGAAUGGAGCCCCAUGGGCACUUGAGAUUCCACGAGUUGCUUCCGUCGUCAACCUUUCGACAUUUUUGUCCAACCUCCCUCAUGGACCUUCAUGGUAUUGUACCCCAAACUUUGUAAUUGCUUGGGAAUUUUGUAUCAAGUGAGUGUUAACCAUCUAA